rnacentral:snoRNA from 1 species
AAUCUCAUUUUUGAGUUUUACUAUUUUUUUCAUUAUAGUAUCGCAGAUUGAACUUAUAUCUGAUGCAACGUCACAGACGUUAUGUCAGAUCUCCAACUUUAAAACCAUCGCUGUUAGAGGUUGCUUCUCUUUACGAAGGGUUAAGCGACCCAUGAAAUGGUGAUGACCUAGAGUUUGGAACAUUC